rnacentral:miRNA from 1 species
CCUAGGAUUUUUCGGGGACAC